GGGGGUGGGCUUUGAGGGUUUAUAGCCUCUCUCUACUCCCUGCUCCGUCUCCCUGUCUCCUGGAUGUGUGGAUGAAAUGUCAUGCCUCUGUCAUGCCUCCUUUGCCACAUGGACUUUAUCCCCUUGGGACUGAAGCCAAAAUUACACUUCCUUCCUUAACUUGCUGUUGGUCAUGAGACUUUUAUCACAACAACAGAAAGGUAACUGACACAAGUACCCGAUUAUUCACAUGGCUAGAGGGGGUCCCCUCUGCGGUCACCUUUUAUACUGACCCGUCUGUUCAAUAUCCCUAAGGCCCGCUGAGAAAAAGGGCCCAGAAGAAGUACCUGAAGGGAAGAAGGGCUUAUCUUGGUUUGCAGAUCUACGGGAUGAAGCCCAUAUGGUGAAGAAGGUUGGAGGAAGGUGCCGGAUUUCCAGGAAGUGAAGAUACAGAUGGUUGCCGACUGCCAAGCGGAUGCUAGGAACUGAGCGUAGGUCCUCCAGGAGAGCAGCCAGCGCUGGUCACUGCUGAGCCAUCUCUCCGAAAAGUUUUAUCACUGUACGACUGAAGAGGACUUCAUGGGACCUGCACGUCUCAUUUUAUCCUGUUAUUGUCACGUUAACAGCGAGCAGUGAACAAGGGUGUUCAACGCACGGAGAUCAAUAUCCAAGGGCUUUUGAAGAUUUUUCUGGAAUGUCCUGAAUUCCUGGAGGGACAUCCCUAGAAGUCUAU
rnacentral:sRNA from 1 species